ACCACGCAACCUAACCCGCGGCCACCGCUCGGGCGCAGCGAUUGGCACAGGACUCGGAGGGAGGCCGAACUUUCCCUCUCCGGCCCUCGCCUCCCGAACGACUCCACCAAUUGGAAGUUCCGCUCUCACCGGGGACCUGGGCCCGGCGUUGACUGGCUGCCGCGUCGGUCGCUCCGAAAGCUUUUGUUGGGAAUUCUAGCAAGACUGGUUGAGGCGGCGGAUCCCCACCCGCCUUUCUCGGGAAACCACGUAGAGGCUGGGCCGGGGCGCGCGCGUGGGGACCCUCCCCGGUCCUUGCGGGUCCAGUGGCGCCGAGUGGGACGCGCCCUGGGGGUCGUGUCUCGGACACCCGGCGGAGAAUCCUGUUUGGCCUUUUAAUGAUUCCACAUACCGACCUCUGUUCUUCACACUUUGAACUCACUGGUGGAGGCCGCCCAGGUUGCCGGCUCUCUCCCCCAGAUCCUUCUGCUUCUCUUUAGGAGAGCUAAGGGAGGAAGCAGGCUCAGCAUGACAGAGCACUAGCUGGCUAUCAUCCAGGCAGUGACAGGCGACGCUGGGACUAGAACCCAGGACACAAUUCAACCCGCAGCUCUCCGCUCGCAGGAGGCGGCUGCGGGAGCCAUAUUUCUGCCAGGACAGCCGGGAGGUCCAGGGAAGUCCCAUUUCUCAGGGAGGAUGCCUUCGGUAAACUUCACAUGAUUCAAACCUUUGUAGUCCCAGAACCUCUUUCCCCCACAGGAAUGUCUGUAAAGUAAGUGAUCAAAUGCGUUCGCACAGCUCGUAAGUCCACAACCGUCUCCCAC